GUCGAGCGACUGAUUAGAAGCUUGCUUCUAUGACGUUAGCGGCGGACGGGUGAGUAACACGUGGGCAACCUGCCUGUAAGACUGGGAUAACUUCGGGAAACCGAAGCUAAUACCGGAUAGGAUCUUCUCCUUCAUGGGAGAUGAUUGAAAGAUGGUUUCGGCUAUCACUUACAGAUGGGCCCGCGGUGCAUUAGCUAGUUGGUGAGGUAACGGCUCACCAAGGCAACGAUGCAUAGCCGACCUGAGAGGGUGAUCGGCCACACUGGGACUGAGACACGGCCCAGACUCCUACGGGAGGCAGCAGUAGGGAAUCUUCCGCAAUGGACGAAAGUCUGACGGAGCAACGCCGCGUGAGUGAUGAAGGCUUUCGGGUCGUAAAACUCUGUUGUUAGGGAAGAACAAGUACGAGAGUAACUGCUCGUACCUUGACGGUACCUAACCAGAAAGCCACGGCUAACUACGUGCCAGCAGCCGCGGUAAUACGUAGGUGGCAAGCGUUAUCCGGAAUUAUUGGGCGUAAAGCGCGCGCAGGCGGUUUCUUAAGUCUGAUGUGAAAGCCCACGGCUCAACCGUGGAGGGUCAUUGGAAACUGGGGAACUUGAGUGCAGAAGAGAAAAGCGGAAU
rnacentral:rRNA from 1 species